rnacentral:rRNA from 1 species
ACACGACUACAUUAGAUACCCGCGUAGUCCAGGGUGUAAACGCUGCGGGCUUGGUGUUGGGGGGUCCUUUGGGGGCAUUCAGUGCCGGAGAGAAGUUGUUAAGUCUGCUACUUGGGGAGUACGUCCGCAAGGAUGAAACUUAAAGGAAUUGGCGGGGGAGCACCGCAACGGGAGGAGCGUGCGGUUUAAUUGGAUUCAACACCGUAAACUCACCAGGGAAGACUGUUACAUGAAGGCCGAGAUGAAGACUCUGCUAGAUUUUCAG